AUACAGAGGGUGCAAGCGUUAAUCGGAAUUACUGGGCGUAAAGCGCGCGUAGGCGGUUUGUUAAGUUGGAUGUGAAAGCCCCGGGCUUAACCUGGGAGGGUCAUUCAAAACUGGCAGACUAGAGUGUGGUAGAGGGUAGUGGAAUUCCUAGUGUAGCGGUGAAAUGCGUAGAGAUUAGGAGGAACACCAGUGGCGAAGGCGACUGCCUGGACCAACACUGACGCUGAGGUGCGAAAGCGUGGGUAGCGAACAGGAUUAGAAACCCCGGUAGUCC
rnacentral:rRNA from 1 species